CCUACGGGAGGCUGCAGUAGGGAAUAUUGCUCAAUGGGGGAAACCCUGACGCAGCAACGCCGCGUGGAGGAUGAAGGUUUUCGGAUUGUAAACUCCUUUUGUUAGAGAAGAUAAUGACGGUAUCUAACGAAUAAGCACCGGCUAACUCCGUGCCAGCAGCCGCGGUAAUACGGAGGGUGCAAGCGUUACUCGGAAUCACUGGGCGUAAAGCGCGCGUAGGCGGGAUAGCAAGUCAGAUGUGAAAUCCUAUGGCUUAACCAUAGAACUGCAUGUGAAACUGUGAUUUGAGAGUAUGGGAGAGGUAGGUGGAAUUCUUGGUGUAGGGGUAAAAUCCGUAGAGAUCAAGAGGAAUACUCAUUGCGAAGGCGACCUGCUAGAACAUAACUGACGCUGAUGCGCGAAAGCGUGGGGAGCAAACAGGAUUAGAUACCCGGGUAGUC
rnacentral:rRNA from 1 species